CUUCCAACCUGAAGUGGAACAAAGAAGUCUUGUGAGGUCACUCUUGUGAGGUCACUCUCCUGACAGUGGCCUGAAUGACACACAGAGGAGAGGGAAGGACUUACUGAGCUCUCCCUGCAGUUUUUCUGCAGGACAAGAGGUACCAAGAACUCACUGUGUGAUGCAGGCAUUGUAGGUCCAUGGUGUCUUCCAGGAUCUCAGUAUUUAACUGACAGAAAAGAAGAGCAUCGUCAUGGGAUAUUUUCCUAGACUAAGCCUAAAACAACCCCCCGCCCCCUGCCCAAUACCAAUGUAGAAGUCAGGACAUAA